UCAACUUCAAUAGGAACACUAAGAAAAACAUUUUUGAGUGGAGGUUGACUUCAUGAUUUAAGAAAUUGAUCACUGUAAAUCUGAGUGCUGAAGUGUCUCAUCAUAUGCUGAAGUGUAACAAAACACUUAAUCACAUGGGCAGAAACAGUAUUGUACUGGCCUCCAAAGAUUAGAUACAGAUUUCUAAUUUUUUUUGUUUUUCUUUAAUGUAGGUGAAAUAUGGCUACAUCUUGAAUAAUAACUUGUCAUAUUUUUCCUUUAGAUUCUGGCAGAGUUCUGUCGCUUGUCAAGCAAAAACUUGAAUACAGAAUUCUUCAAAGAACUUGACAAAUACACUCCCCGCUUCUUUGAGAUCUUCAAGACCAAGGGGGGAAGUGUUGGCCAGAAACUUAAGAAUUAACUGCAACAAGUCACACCGGAGAGUACAGAUGUUACUGCAAAGCAAACAGCUGUCCUCCGUGGCCUUCCUGUCAUCCUUGGAGAUGAGAACACAGACUUCUUCAAGACAUGCUUUGACUGCGAUGACGCAGGCAUGUCUCACAUCCCCAUUGGAAUCCUGACCAUUGUUCCUGAGGACGAACAGCUCUCCCUUGACUCACUGCACCUUCAGACUUCAGGUACCGCAAUCAUUUUGGAAGGAAGAAUUGUGAUGGAUGACCUUGAAAAUCUUCCACAUGCCAUGUGCUUGCUCUCUGGACUUACUUACGCCCUGAAUUUGGAGUACCCUCAACAGCUGAAGUACACCUUUGACUUCAUUCAAAGGGUGCUUCUCUCACUUGGACAUAAAUCCCUAAAACCAAAAAUACAGUCACUCAAAAAUCUUCUGAUGCAAUGAGUGAAUGUAAUCAUGAUGUGAAUGUGAUGUGACAUCUUGGGUCACAUUGACACCUUUACCCUCAUUGGAAAAGUGAUACUUUUUUCUUGUUUGAGCCUUUUUUGUGGGAAGGAGCCUCAUCGCCCUUUUUAGACUACUGAAUGGUUUUUAUGUUCAUGAGGAGAAAAAUGAACACCUACUUUCCUUUUAGCUUUUGUUUUUCCUUUUGUGUUGAUGCUGAAAUGAUUGUGGUGAUAUUGAUUACCAGCAUCAGGGUCUUUAGCAAGUUAUCUCUGACUUAAUAUAUGUUGUAAGUCAAUCUCUACUGCAGUUCUGAACUCAACCACUAAGAAUUUAAAUCAGAAAGCUUUUAGCAGUUUUUAGCAGGAGCUGGCUCAAACAUAAGAAUUACAGUUGCACAUUCAGUUGAAAUAAUGUUUUCAUUUUGCAAUCAUGCAAUAGGUGGAUUGUAAACAGUUGAGCUAUGUCUGCUGUUCACUUUAUUGAUGUUAAGAUAAAUGUUAGGCCCUGCAAUUACUGAGUUUAUCUAUAGUUCACACCAUAGUCAACAGAGAUAUUAAGCAGGAAUUCUCAAAGUUUUACUGACUGAGGGCUGUUUUAGGGACUCAAUAUUAGAUUGAAGGCCGCCCAAGAAAAAAGUUGUCACUUUUUUUCUGAAAAAGUUAGUCUUUUAUAUUACUGCUUUCUAUGUAAUACAAAAAAAAAUAAUAAUUUUACAUGGUUUUAUGACUUUUUGGCAAGUUCCUGCAAUUUUUGCAUUACGGCGUGAUUUAGCCUAUUUUCCACUUUGUAUUGUGAUAUACUAUAUUGGGGUUACAAGCCAAAUAAGGUUGUUCUAACUGUUAAUCAAAAAUUUUAUUGGAAGCAUGCAUUUCAUGUCACCUUUACUCAGUGGGUUGCCAUUGUCCCACAGACUGUAUGUAAGGUGUGUUCUGAACAAAAAAAGUUAAAUUAUUAAACUUUGUUUCCAUUCAAA